AUUGAACGCUGGCGGCAGGCCUAACACAUGCAAGUCGAACGAGUGGCGGACGGGUGAGUAAUGUCUGGGAAACUGCCCGAUGGAGGGGGAUAACUACUGGAAACGGUAGCUAAUAACGCAUACCAUCGGAUGUGCCCAGAUGGGAUUGGCUAGUAGGUGGGGUAACGGCUCACCUAGGCGACGAUCCCUAGCUGGUCCGAGAGGAUGACCGGACACGCCUGAACUGAGACACGGUCCAGACUCCGACGGGAGGUAGCAGUGGGGAAUAUUGCACAAUGGGCGCAAGCCUGAUGCAGCCAUGCCGCUUGUAUGAGGAAGGCCGUCGGGUUGUAGAGUACUUUCAGCGAGGAGGCGUUACUCGCAGAAGAAGCACCGGGUAACUCCGUGCCAGCAGCCGCGGUAAUUC
rnacentral:rRNA from 1 species